UUCUCUCUCUCUCUCUCUCUCUCUCUCUCUCUCAAAUCCCAUGUGAAUCAGAUCUGGAUCUGCUCCUCUCUCUCUCGAUUCAUCCGUAAAUCAUUGAAGAAAAACAUCAUUCCGCCUCACCCUGCAUCGAAAAAAGACAUCAGAUCUGGAAAUCAAACAUCACCACCGUCGCUUUUUUCUCCAAACCCUAAACGAAUCAAAUGUCGCAUUUUUUUUAGAGAAAUCAAUCGAAACAGAGGAAGACCAACGAUGGGAUCAUCAUCAUCAAUGAUGUUACAGAUUCAGCGAUCUAAGGAAGGAUACUCAUGUCGAUUUCUCUGAACCUGUUGAUCCGAAUGAGCUCCCUGAUUACCAUGAUAUUAUUAAGCACCCUAUGGAUUUUGGUACUGUUAGGAGC